CUUGGAUCCCAGCUGCCAAGUCAGGAGGAAGCCAUGGCCACCCAGGAAGGCCCCAGGAUUUGCCACCUUGGGGGACCUCCUUUGUCUCUGUCCCUUCAUGCCAUGAACUCCCAGGCACAGGUUCUGCCCCAGAAAUGGAGGCUAAAGCUCCUUGCCUGAGACUGAGCCAAUUGGUCCCACCUGGGGUUCAGCUGAGGAAGCCUCUCCCCAGCAGCUACCUCACUGCAGGAUGAUGCUCUAAUGUCCACCUAUGUGAGACCUCCUUUCCCGGAGAAAAGAACAAGGAAAUCUACAUCAAAGGUGAUGUAAGCCCCAUCACGGCAAGAGGCUGAGCUGGCUGCAUGUGCCAGGCAGUGAGGUGAAUGGGGACCAGUUGCCUUUGAGAAGUGAGGAGGGGGCAGACACAUGGGCUUUAGAGAAGGGAGAGGUCUGCAGGGCAGAAAGUGAUUUCCUAAAAGUAACAGGACUUGAGUUGGGCCUUCCUGGUUGGUGAGUGCAUUAUAUGAUAGUUUGAUGAUUCCAGGCCACUUAUGAGAGGUCCUUCACUCCAUAAUGGUGGCAGGCCCAGCUACGCUGCUCACUGAUGCGAGAUUCACCUGAAAUUCUCACUGUAGUCCUCUGGGGAGUCUCAGAGUGGACACCAGGACGUUCGUA
rnacentral:lncRNA from 13 species